rnacentral:rRNA from 1 species
AUGAACGCUAGCGACAGGCUUAACACAUGCAAGUCGAGGGGCAGCACAGGUAGCAAUACCGGGUGGCGACCGGCGCACGGGUGAGUAACGCGUAUGCAACUUACCUAUCAGAGGGGGAUAACCCGGCGAAAGUCGGACUAAUACCGCAUGAAGCAGGGGUCCCGCAUGGGGAUAUUUGCUAAAGAUUCAUCGCUGAUAGAUAGGCAUGCGUUCCAUUAGGCAGUUGGCGGGGUAACGGCCCACCAAACCGACGAUGGAUAGGGGUUCUGAGAGGAAGGUCCCCCACAUUGGUACUGAGACACGGACCAAACUCCUACGGGAGGCAGCAGUGAGGAAUAUUGGUCAAUGGGCGUAAGCCUGAACCAGCCAAGUCGCGUGAGGGAUGAAGGUUCUAUGGAUCGUAAACCUCUUUUAUAAGGGAAUAAAGUGCGGGACGUGUCCCGUUUUGUAUGUACCUUAUGAAUAAGGAUCGGCUAACUCCGUGCCAGCAGCCGCGGUAAUACGGAGGAUUCGAGCGUUAUCCGGAUUUAUUGGGUUUAAAGGGUGCGUAGGCGGCCUUUUAAGUCAGCGGUGAAAGUCUGUGGCUCAACCAUAGAAUUGCCGUUGAAACUGGGGGGCUUGAGUAUGUUUGAGGCAGGCGGAAUGCGUGGUGUAGCGGUGAAAUGCUUAGAUAUCACGCAGAACCCCGAUUGCGAAGGCAGCCUGCCAAGCCAUGACUGACGCUGAUGCACGAAAGCGUGGGGAUCAAACAGGAUUAGAUACCCUGGUAGUCCACGCAGUAAACGAUGAUCACUAGCUGUUUGCGAUACACUGUAAGCGGCACAGCGAAAGCGUUAAGUGAUCCACCUGGGGAGUACGCCGGCAACGGUGAAACUCAAAGGAAUUGACGGGGGCCCGCACAAGCGGAGGAACAUGUGGUUUAAUUCGAUGAUACGCGAGGAACCUUACCCGGGUUUGAACGCAUUCGGACCGAGGUGGAAACACCUUUUCUAGCAAUAGCCGUUUGCGAGGUGCUGCAUGGUUGUCGUCAGCUCGUGCCGUGAGGUGUCGGCUUAAGUGCCAUAACGAGCGCAACCCUUGCCACUAGUUACUAACAGGUAAAGCUGAGGACUCUGGUGGGACUGCCAGCGUAAGCUGCGAGGAAGGCGGGGAUGACGUCAAAUCAGCACGGCCCUUACAUCCGGGGCGACACACGUGUUACAAUGGCGUGGACAAAGGGAUGCCACCUGGCGACAGGGAGCGAAUCCCCAAACCACGUCUCAGUUCGGAUCGGAGUCUGCAACCCGACUCCGUGAAGCUGGAUUCGCUAGUAAUCGCGCAUCAGCCAUGGCGCGGUGAAUACGUUCCCGGGCCUUGUACACACCGCCCGUCAAGCCAUGGGAGCCGGGGGUACCUGAAGUCCGUAACCGCGAGGAUCGGCCUAGGGUAAAACUGGUGACUGGGGCU